rnacentral:rRNA from 1 species
UACGUAGGGUGCAAGCGUUAAUCGGAAUUACUGGGCGUAAAGCGUGCGCAGGCGGUUGUGUAAGUCAGAUGUGAAAUCCCCGGGCUCAACCUGGGAACUGCAUUUGUGACUGCACAGCUGGAGUGCGGCAGAGGGGGAUGGAAUUCCGCGUGUAGCAGUGAAAUGCGUAGAUAUGCGGAGGAACACCGAUGGCGAAGGCAAUUCCCUGGGCCUGCACUGACGCUCAUGCACGAAAGCGUGGGGAGCAAACAGG